AACGGCCGUACCAUGCUGAAUAUACCGGUUCUCGUUAGAUCACCGAAGUUAAGCAUCAUUGGGCGCGGUCAGUACUUGGGUGGGUGACCACCUGGGAACACAUGCGUGCC
rnacentral:rRNA from 1 species